rnacentral:rRNA from 1 species
ACGUACACUCCUGCGGGAGGCAGCAGUGGGGAAUAUUGGACAAUGGGCGCAAGCCUGAUCCAGCCAUGCCGCGUGAGUGAUGAAGGCCCUAGGGUUGUAAAGCUCUUUUGUGCGGGAAGAUAAUGACGGUACCGCAAGAAUAAGCCCCGGCUAACUUCGUGCCAGCAGCCGCGGUAAUACGAAGGGGGCUAGCGUUGCUCGGAAUCACUGGGCGUAAAGGGUGCGUAGGCGGGUCUUUAAGUCAGGGGUGAAAUCCUGGAGCUCAACUCCAGAACUGCCUUUGAUACUGAAGAUCUUGAGUUCGGGAGAGGUGAGUGGAACUGCGAGUGUAGAGGUGAAAUUCGUAGAUAUUCGCAAGAACACCAGUGGCGAAGGCGGCUCACUGGCCCGAUACUGACGCUGAGGCACGAAAGCGUGGGGAGCAAACAGGAUUAGAAACCCCAGUAGUCCCAUG